rnacentral:sRNA from 15 species
CAAUAGUCAUGAUGGUCAAAGCUCAUGGGAGUUGUGCGUUUUUUUGCGUACAGUUUUCUGGAGUUU